GAUGAACGCUGGCGGCGUGUCUAAUACAUGCAAGGCGAACGAAACUUCCUGAUCACCGGGUGCUUGCACCCACCGAUAAAGAGUUGAGUGGCCAACGGGCGCGUAACACGUGGACAACCUGCCCAACAGAGGGGGAUAAUACUCGCAACCGGCUGCUACUCCCCCACAACCAUACUUACCGCAUGGUAACUAGGCAAAAGGUGGCUAUACUACCGCUUUUGGACGGCCCAGCGCCCCAUUGGCUAGUUGGUGGGGUAAAGGCUUACCAAGCCACUGCGUCGUAGCCGACUUGAGAGCUUGCUCGCCCACAUUGGGUCUGAGACACCGCCCCCACGCCUUCGGGAGGCCGCAGUAGGGAAUCUUCCCCCAUGGCCGCAAGCCUGAUCGAGCACCCCCGCGUGAGUGAAGAACGUCUUCGCUUCGUAAAACCCUGUUCUGAGCGCCGAUAGCCCGUGACACUCACUUUUCACGUUUCGCCCGUAUCCAACCAGAACGCCACGGCUACCUACUUC
rnacentral:rRNA from 1 species